rnacentral:rRNA from 1 species
CACGGACCAAGGAGUUUAGCGUGUACGCAAGUCAUUGGGCCUAUAAACCCAUAGGCAAAAUGAAAGUAAAGAGUUUGAGUUUUGUAAAUUUUUACAUUCUCUACUUUAGGGAAGAUGGAAAAUAUUGUGCAGCAUUGUAUAAGAUUUUCCCGCAUUCCCAGGGCGCUUGAUUCUUGCUUUGCAAGUCAAUGCGCACCUAUAGCGUACACGCUGAUACCCGAAAGAUGGUGAACUAUGCCUGGCCAGGACGAAGCCAGGGGAAACCCUGGUGGAGGUCCGCAGCGAUUCUGACGUGCAAAUCGAUCGUCGGAGCUGGGUAUAGGGGCGAAAGACCAAUCGAACCAUCUAGUAGCUGGUUCCCUCUGAAGUUUCCCUCAGGAUAGCUUGCACUCGGUUGAGACGAGUCUCAUCCGGUAGAGCGAAUGAUUAGAGGCAUUGGGGUCGAAACGACCUCAACCUAUUCUCAAACUCCAAAUAGAUGAGAUCCCCGGCUUUCUUAAAAGUGAAGCCGUGGGAAUAGGAUCAGAGUGCCAAGUGGGCCAAUUUUGGUAAGCAGAACUGG